CCUACGGGUGGCAGCAGUGAGGAAUAUUGGUCAAUGGCCGGAAGGCUGAACCAGCCAAGUCGCGUGAGGGACGACUGCCCUAUGGGUUGUAAACCUCUUUUAUAAGGGAAGAAUAAAUGCUACGUGUAGCAUGAUGCCUGUACCUUAUGAAUAAGCAUCGGCUAACUCCGUGCCAGCAGCCGCGGUAAUACGGAGGAUGCGAGCGUUAUCCGGAUUUAUUGGGUUUAAAGGGUGCGUAGGCGGUUUUUUAAGUUAGUGGUUAAACGUCGGGGCUUCACCUUGAUUUGCCAUUAAUACUGUAAGACUCGAGUUCAGACGAGGUAGGCGGAAUAAGUUAAGUAGCGGUGAAAUGCUUAGAUAUCACGCAGAACUCCGAUUGCGAAGGCAGCAUACCGGCGCCCAACUGACGCUGAAGCACGAAAGCGUGGGUAUCGAACAGGAUUAGAUACCCCGGUAGUC
rnacentral:rRNA from 1 species